GAUGAACGCUGGCGGCGUGCCUAAUACAUGCAAGUCGAGCGAACAGACGAGAGUCCUUGCGCUCUCUGACGUUAGCGGCGGACGGGUGAGUAACACGUGGGUAACCUACCUAUAAGACUGGGAUAACUUCGGGAAACCGGAGCUAAUACCGGAUAAUAUUUAGCUUCGCAUGUAGCAAUAGUGAAAGACGGUUCUGCUGUCACUUAUAGAUGGACCCGGGGUGUAUUAGCUAGUUGGUGAGGUAACGGCUCACCAAGGCAACGAUACAUAGCCGACCUGAGAGGGUGAUCGGCCACACUGGGACUGAGACACGGCCCAGACUCCUACGGGAGGCAGCAGUGGGGAAUCUUCCGCAAUGGACGAAAGUCUGACGGAGCAAUGCCGCGUGAGUGAAGAAGGUUUUCGGAUCGUAAAACUCUGUUGUAAGGGAAGAACAAGUACGUGAGUAACUGAACGUACCUUGACGGUACCUGAACAGAAAGCCACGGCUAACUACGUG
rnacentral:rRNA from 1 species